rnacentral:rRNA from 1 species
CCUACGGGGGGCUGCAGUGGGGAAUAUUGGACAAUGGGCGAAAGCCUGAUCCAGCAAUACCGCGUGUGUGAAGAAGGCCUGAGGGUUGUAAAGCACUUUCAAUAGGAAGGAAUACCUACCGGCCAAUACCCGGUAGACUGACAUUACCUAUACAAGAAGCACCGGCUAACUCCGUGCCAGCAGCCGCGGUAAUACGGAGGGUGCAAGCGUUAAUCGGAAUUACUGGGCGUAAAGCGUGCGUAGGCGGUUGUUUAAGUCAGAUGUGAAAGCCCUGGGCUUAACCUGGGAACUGCAUUUGAUACUGGGCAACUAGAGUUUAGUAGAGGGGAGUGGAAUUUCAGGUGUAGCGGUGAAAUGCGUAGAGAUCUGAAGGAACACCAGUGGCGAAGGCGGCUCCCUGGACUAAAACUGACGCUGAGGUACGAAAGCGUGGGUAGCAAACAGGCUUAGAUACCCUUGUAGUC